GCAACGCCGCGUGAGUGAUGAAGGCUUUCGGGUCGUAAAACUCUGUUGUUAGGGAAGAACAAGUACGAGAGUAACUGCUCGUACCUUGACGGUACCUAACCAGAAAGCCACGGCUAACUACGUGCCAGCAGCCGCGGUAAUACGUAGGUGGCAAGCGUUAUCCGGAAUUAUUGGGCGUAAAGCGCGCGCAGGCGGUUUCUUAAGUCUGAUGUGAAAGCCCACGGCUCAACCGUGGAGGGUCAUUGGAAACUGGGGAACUUGAGUGCAGAAGAGAAAAGCGGAAUUCCACGUGUAGCGGUGAAAUGCGUAGAGAUGUGGAGGAACACCAGUGGCGAAGGCGGCUUUUUGGUCUGUAACUGACGCUGAGGCGCGAAAGCGUGGGGAGCAAACAGGAUUAGAUACCCUGGUAGUCCACGCCGUAAACGAUGAGUGCUAAGUGUUAGAGGGUUUCCGCCCUUUAGUGCUGCAGCUAACGCAUUAAGCACUCCGCCUGGGGAGUACGGUCGCAAGACUG
rnacentral:rRNA from 1 species